AACAGGAUUAGAUACCCUGGUAGUGCACGCCGUAAACGAUGUCGACUUGGAGGUUGUUCCCUUGAGGAGUGGCUUCCGGAGCUAACGCGUUAAGUCGACCGCCUGGGGAGUACGGCCGCAAGGUUAAAACUCAAAUGAAUUGACGGGGGCCCGCACAAGCGGUGGAGCAUGUGGUUUAAUUCGAUGCAACGCGAAGAACCUUACCUACUCUUGACAUCCAGAGAACUUAGCAGAGAUGCUUCGGUGCCUUCGGGAACUCUGAGACAGGUGCUGCAUGGCUGUCGUCAGCUCGUGUUGUGAAAUGUUGGGUUAAGUCCCGCAACGAGCGCAACCCUUAUCCUUUGUUGCCAGCGGUUCGGCCGGGAACUCAAAGGAGACUGCCAGUGAUAAACUGGAGGAAGGUGGGGAUGACGUCAAGUCAUCAUGGCCCUUACGAGUAGGGCUACACACGUGCUACAAUGGCGCAUACAAAGAGAAGCGACCUCGCGAGAGCAAGCGGACCUCAUAAAGUGCGUCGUAGUCCGGAUCGGAGUCUGCAACUCGACUCCGUGAAGUCGGAAUCGCUAGUAAUCGUAGAUCAGAAUGCUACGGUGAAUACGUUCCCGGGCCUUGUACACACCGCCCGUCACACCAUGGGAGUGGGUUGCAAAAGAAGUAGGUAGCUUAACCUUCGGGAGGGCGCUUACCACUUUGUGAUUCAUGACUGGGGUGAAGUCGUAACAAGGUAACC
rnacentral:rRNA from 1 species